rnacentral:misc_RNA from 1 species
GCCACAUGAUGAGAACUCGAGGCUCAAAGCUUGAGUGGGUGAUGUAAACUUAUCUCUAUUUCUGUUCAGGCUUACAGCUUGAACCCAAAAUUUAGCAGUCAUAAUCUCAUAAGGAGCUAAUAAAAGGGCAUGCUAUCGACCUCCAACUCAUUUUUUUUGUCUUUCACUUGGAGCAAAGUUGAUAGCUCCCAGGACAUGCUUUCCACUCAAUUGAAUAAUUUUG